rnacentral:rRNA from 1 species
UACGUAGGGGGCAAGCGUUGUCCGGAAUCAUUGGGCGUAAAGAGCGUGUAGGCGGCUCGGUAAGUCCGCUGUGAAAGUCCAGGGCUCAACCCUGGAAUGCCGGUGGAAACUGUCGAGCUAGAGUCCGGAAGAGGCGAGUGGAAUUCCCGGUGUAGCGGUGAAAUGCGCAGAUAUCAGGAAGAACACCUAUGGCGAAGGCAGCUCUCUGGGACGGUACUGACGCUGAGACGCGAAAGCGUGGGGAGCGAACAGG